UGCCAAAUCAGGGAAGCGAAA
rnacentral:miRNA from 1 species